rnacentral:snoRNA from 1 species
AAAGCUCUGAUUAUGUCAAUUACCAAUUGUUCCUACUGAAAAAAUUCAUGUGGAUGCUAUUCAUUAAGUUUCAGCCUUGUAUGAGCGCU